rnacentral:snRNA from 1 species
AUUCCCUCAAUGUGUUGCCUCUUUUGAUAACCACUCUCUGUUCUUAUUAGCCUAUUAUGUGAUAUGGAUUCUAUUUGUAUCCAAGAUAAUAAACUUAUUUUUGCAAUGCGGAGCAAAGCUUGAAGCUUGCUUCAACUCCGCCGCGGGUUGGCCCGUAUUGCACUAUGUCCGGGAUUGGCCCACUCUUC